GCCUACGGGGGGCAGCAGUAGGGAAUCUUCCACAAUGGGCGAAAGCCUGAUGGAGCAACGCCGCGUGGGUGAAGAAGGUCUUCGGAUCGUAAAACCCUGUUGUUAGAGAAGAAAGUGCGCGAGAGUAACUGUUCACGUUUCGACGGUAUCUAACCAGAAAGCCACGGCUAACUACGUGCCAGCAGCCGCGGUAAUACGUAGGUGGCAAGCGUUAUCCGGAUUUAUUGGGCGUAAAGGGAACGCAGGCGGUCUUUUAAGUCUGAUGUGAAAGCCUUCGGCUUAACCGGAGUAGUGCAUUGGAAACU
rnacentral:rRNA from 1 species